rnacentral:rRNA from 1 species
AGCGAACGCUGGCGGCAGGCCUAACACAUGCAAGUCGAACGAGCUCUUCGGAGUUAGUGGCGGACGGAUGAGUAACACGUGGGAACGUGCCUUUAGGUUCGGAACAACUCAGGGAAACUUGUGCUAAUACCGAAUGUGCCCUUCGGGGGAAAGAUUUACCGCCUUUAGAGCGGCCCGCGUCUGAUUAGCUAGUUGGUGAGGUAAAGGCUCACCAAGGCGACGAUCAGUAGCCGGUCUGAGAGGAUGAUCAGCCACAUUGGGACUGAGACACGGCCCAAACUCCUACGGGAGGCAGCAGUGGGGAAUCUUGCGCAAUGGGCGAAAGCCUGACGCAGCCAUGCCGCGUGAAUGAUGAAGGUCUUAGGAUUGUAAAAUUCUUUCACCGGGGACGAUAAUGACGGUACCCGGAGAAGAAGCCCCGGCUAACUUCGUGCCAGCAGCCGCCGCCG